rnacentral:rRNA from 1 species
UACGGGGGGGGCAAGCGUUGUUCGGAAUUACUGGGCGUAAAAGGCUCGUAGGCGGCCAACUAAGUCAGACGUGAAAUCCCUCGGCUUAACCGGGGAACUGCGUCUGAUACUGGAUGGCUUGAGUUUGGGAGAGGGAUGCGGAAUUCCAGGUGUAGCGGUGAAAUGCGUAGAUAUCUGGAGGAACACCGGUGGCGAAGGCGGCAUCCUGGACCAACACUGACGCUGAGUGAGCGAAAGCCAGGGGAGCAAACGGG